CAGUCGCCACGGUAAAACGAAGGGGGCUAGCGUUGCUCGGAAUCACUGGGCGUAAAGGGUGCGUAGGCGGGUCUUUAAGUCAGGGGUGAAAUCCUGGAGCUCAACUCCAGAACUGCCUUUGAUACUGAAGAUCUUGAGUUCGGGAGAGGUGAGUGGAACUGCGAGUGUAGAGGUGAAAUUCGUAGAUAUUCGCAAGAACACCAGUGGCGAAGGCGGCUUACUGGCUCGAAACUGACGCUGAGGCGCGAAAGCGUGGGGAGCAAACAGGAUUAGAUACCCCAGUAGUCCCUGUCUCUUAUAC
rnacentral:rRNA from 1 species